UUCGUAGAUAGUCUACAACCCGAAGCGAAUCUAUCUACACACAACAAGAAAACCCCAAACACAUACACACACUGAAGGAGAAACCACACGCACUGACGCUCAGCGCAUGUUCUCAUUGAACACCAAUCAAACCAAGGGCUUCUUCUUGGAUCGAGACGGCAUGGCGUUGCCGAACAUCGGCCUAUUUUCGUCUCCGGCGGAAGACCCCAAUAAGAAAAUCAGAAAACCGUACACCAUUACCAAGUCACGUGAGAGCUGGACCGAACCUGAGCACGAUAAGUUCCUUGAAGCGCUCCAGCUCUUUGAUCGUGAUUGGAAGAAGAUUGAAGCAUUUAUCGGAUCUAAAACAGUCAUUCAGAUACGUAGCCACGCACAAAAGUAUUUUCUUAAAGUUCAAAAGAGUGGAACCAAUGAACAUCUUCCUCCACCUCGGCCAAAAAGAAAAGCUGCUCAUCCAUAUCCACAGAAAGCUUCAAAAAUUGUUCCAGUUCUUUCACAAGAGAGACCAUCAUUCCAAGACUCUGCUGCUGUUCCUGAUAAUGGAUUUGCAAGGAGGCCUGUUCCUUCUGCAAUAAUAAGAAAUGAAUCUGCUGCAUCUAUACCUGGCUGGACAGAGAAACCUUUGCAGAAAACCAAUAUUUUGCAUGCAGCUGGAGUUGAUGCCAGAUAUGCCGGACAGACAAUGCCCUAUAUUUGUGGUAGCAAUGACAGCACAACAAAGACAAGGCCCACAGGUGACAUAAAUGCUGAUCAAGUUUUUUAUGCUUGUGGGGCCCUCCAACUAAUACUAGUGAUGGUUACAAUUCAAAAGAGACGAGAAUGCAUUACCUUUCUCCCUGAUUUUGGUCAAGUGUACAGUUUCAUAGGCAGUGUCUUCGACCCAAAUGUUACCGGCCAUUUACAGAAAUUGAAGAAGAUGGACCCAAUUGAUAUUGAGACAGUGCUAUUGUUGAUGAGAAAUCUCUCGAUCAAUUUGGCUAGUCGUGAUUUUGAGGAUCAUGUAAGCACAAAUUACCUCGGGCAUUAAAAGUAUUCAUUCAGGGGAUAGUUUUUGGUUUGUCUAUGCUUGCCUGUGCAUCCCCUGCCUAUUAUUUGCUCAAUUAGAAGGGUGCUUUCAUCAUAUGAGAUUGACCGUGAGAGGGAUGAUGCCUUUGAUGUAACUGAUUCUAUCCUUUGUUGCGAAUCUGAGGGUGCAGGCUAACUUUGUGUCAUGUUGGUUCCUUGGUACUCUCUCUCUCUCUCUCAAUCGUCCUAGGAUUAGUUAUAUCAUCAAUGAGAUCGUGUUAUUUGAUGAAUGAUACUAGCUGGUCUGAAGUUGAAUUGGAUGCCUAGUUUGUUAAUGGCAGGCUCUUGGCAAACUUUUGAUGUGUUUCGAGAGUUGCUAAUUCCUAUAAUUGCAAGUAUCGUUCUUGUUAAAUAUUCUUCUGUCUAAGCAGUUAGUGGGGCCUUGUACAUACGGGCAAAUGAAAUAAAAUGAGGGGUAUUUGCGGCGAUGUAAAUUGUGAACAUGGUUGUCUGUAAAUGCAAAAUUUUGAUCCCAUUGUGCAGCUGGUAAA